UCAGUCGACUCCUACGGGGAGGCAGCAGUGGGGGAAUAUUGCACAAUGGGCGCAAGCCUGAUGCAGCCAUGCCGCGUGUGUGAAGAAGGACCUUCGGGUUGUAAAGCACUUUCAGUCGUGAGGAAGGUAGUGUAGUUAAUAGCUGCAUUAUUUGACGUUAGCGACAGAAGAAGCACCGGCUAACUCCGUGCCAGCAGCCGCGGUAAUACGGAGGGUGCGAGCGUUAAUCGGAAUUACUGGGCGUAAAGCGCAUGCAGGUGGUUUGUUAAGUCAGAUGUGAAAGCCCGGGGCUCAACCUCGGAAUUGCAUUUGAAACUGGCAGACUAGAGUACUGUAGAGGGGGGUAGGAAUUUCAGGUGUAGCGGUGAAAUGCGUAGAGAUCUGAAGGAAUACCGGUGGCGAAGGCGGCCCCCUGGACAGAUACUGACACUCAGAUGCGAAAGCGUGGGGAGCAAACAGGAUUAGAUACCCUGGUAG
rnacentral:rRNA from 1 species